rnacentral:rRNA from 1 species
AUUGAACGCUGGCGGCAUGCUUUACACAUGCAAGUCGAACGGCAGCGCGGGCUUCGGCCUGGCGGCGAGUGGCGAACGGGUGAGUAAUGCAUCGGAACGUGCCCAGUAGUGGGGGAUAGCCCGGCGAAAGUCGGAUUAAUACCGCAUACGACCUGAGGGUGAAAGCGGGGGGCCGAAAGGCCUCGCGCUAUUGGAGCGGCCGAUGUCGGAUUAGCUAGUUGGUGGGGUAAAGGCUUACCAAGGCGACGAUCCGUAGCUGGUCUGAGAGGACGACCAGCCACACUGGGACUGAGACACGGCCCAGACUCCUACGGGAGGCAGCAGUGGGGAAUUUUGGACAAUGGGGGCAACCCUGAUCCAGCCAUGCCGCGUGCGGGAAGAAGGCCUUCGGGUUGUAAACCGCUUUUGUUCGGGAAGAAAUCCUCUGGGCUAAUACCCCGGGGGGAUGACGGUACCGGAAGAAUAAGCACCGGCUAACUACGUG